UACAGAGGUCUCAAGCGUUGUUCGGAUUCAUUGGGCGUAAAGGGUGCGUAGGCGGCGCGAUAAGUCGGAUGUGAAAUCUCGGAGCUUAACUUCGAAACUGCAUUCGAUACUGCCGUGCUUGAGGACUGGAGAGGAGACUGGAAUUUACGGUGUAGCGGUGAAAUGCGUAGAUAUCGUAAGGAAGACCAGUGGCGAAGGCGGGUCUCUGGACAGUUCCUGACGCUGAGGCACGAAGGCCAGGGGAGCAAACGGG
rnacentral:rRNA from 1 species